rnacentral:rRNA from 1 species
CCUGGCUGUAAGAGGGGAAUAACCCGGAGAAAUCCGGACUAAUAACCGCGAUAAUACUUAGAAUCCGCAUGGAUUUUAAGUUAAACAUUUAUGGCUUACAGAUGGGCAUGCGUAUGAUUAGCUGGUUGGAGAGGUAACGGCUCCCCAAGGCAACGAUCAUUAGGGUUCUGAGAGGAAGGUCCCCCACACUGGUACUGAGACACGGACCAGACUCCUACGGGAGGCAGUCAGUGAGGAAUAUUGGUCAAUGGACGCAAGUCUGAACCAGCCAAGUCCGCGUGAAGGAAGAAUGUCCUUAUGGAUUGUAAACUUCUUUUGGAAGGGAAUAAAGUACGGUUACGUGUACCGUUUUGUAUGUACCCUUCGAAUAAGGAUCGGCUAACUCCGUGCCAGCAGCAGC